rnacentral:rRNA from 1 species
UUCCAGACUCCUACGGGAGGCAGCAGUGAGGAAUAUUGGUCAAUGGGCGGGAGCCUGAACCAGCCAAGUCGCGUGAGGGAAGACGGUCCUACGGAUUGUAAACCUCUUUUGCCGGGGAGCAACGGGGUCCUUGCGAGGGCCCGAUGAGAGUACCCGGAGAAAAAGCAUCGGCUAACUCCGUGCCAGCAGCCGCGGUAAUACGUAGGGUGCGAGCGUUAAUCGGAAUUACUGGGCGUAAAGGGUGUGCAGGCGGUUUUGCAAGAUGGAUGUGAAAGCCCCGGGCUUAACCUGGGAAAGCCAUACAUGACUGCAAGACUAGAGUGCGUCAGAGGGGGGUGGAAUUCCAAGUGUAGCAGUGAAAUGCGUAGAUAUUUGGAAGAACACCGAUGGCGAAGGCAGCCCCCUGGGACGCAACUGACGCUCAUACACGAAAGCGUGGGGAGCAAACAGGAUUAGAUACCCGUGUA